UAAUAUUAAACCUUGUCAAAACUAGUAUAGACAAGGGGAAUCCAACUGUUUAAUUAAAACAAAGUAUUGUGAUGGUCCUUGCGGAUGUUGACACAAUGUGAUUUAUACCUAGUGCUCUACAUGUGAAAGUGAAUAAAUUCAACCAAGCGCAGGUAAACGAUGGGAGUAACUAUGACUCUCUUAAGGUAUCCAGAUGCCUCGUCAUCUAAUUAGUGACAUGUGUGAAUGGAUUAACAAGAUUCUUACUGUCCCUAGAUAUUAUCUAUAGAAACCACAACCAACAGAUAUUAG
rfam:Picea glauca, whole genome shotgun sequence.